AGGUUUGUGCUGCGGAUGAGGUAAGGAGAGUGAACUAAAGUGUGGGCCGCACACACGUCCCUAUAAAGGAAAUGGAAUCUCUCAGAGAACCGUGCUCUCAUUGGAGUGUUCCUGUUGAGAUGGAUGAGAGGAUGACAGCGCCCAGUGCUGAUGUGGCCUGGCCCUCCUUUUGUAAACUCUGUAGUGGACAUGAAGGGGCCAGCAGGACGGCAAAGAGCCAUGGCUGUGAGCCUCCUCAGAGGGGGCUGUGGGAUUCAGGUUUCAGUAGGGUCGACUGGUAC